CCUCCCCAAAUCAGCGCAGCUCCUACACCCCCUGUGCAAUCUGCGCCUGCUCCUACACCGCUGUCCCAACCCGUGAUAAAAAGAAGGGCAAAUCCCCGUUGGAGAAGAAGGCGAAUCCUUCCAACUAAUCUGGAUUGAGUUUAAAGAUACUUUUUAGGGGUCUAUUUGAUCUGAAUGCUAAGCCGUUGCCUACUACUGACAUUCCUGAUGUGGGUGUUGUUGGGCAAGAUGAGAUUGAUGAGGUGCCUGAAGCCCUAUUGUUUAAAUUUGUACCUCCUCAAGAUGCCACAUUGCUGCAGCUUAUCAGUCUAUCUAUGCCAGCAGCAACUUGAGUGCACAGCAGCAACUAGGGUGCUCGGCGGCGGCAGCAGCAACUGCGAUGCUUAGCGGCAGCAAUAGCUUGAUUCAGAGGCGCUGCAAGCUAACUCCGGCGGUGUAACAGUACUUGCAACUGCUACGUACACUUUUGGAGUUGAUGUUGAGGACGGUGUUGAGGUUUUAUCUACUCCACAAGAGUCCUUCAUUGACAUGACCUUCAACAGUUCAGAUUCUGCUAGGGAUUAUUACAAUUCCUAUGCUAGGCAUACUAGAUUCUCCAUUAGGACUGACACAUCCCGUGAGUCGAAAAGGAGCGGGAUAAAACAAAAUUCAUAUUUGUGUGCCAAAGAGCUGGGGUUAAAAAAAAGGAAAAAGUUGUUGUUGAUGGCCCUAUUACUGAGAAAAAGAUAGUAAGGGAAAGACGCACAGAUUAUGUUGAUAGGACAUGUUGUCCUGCCUGUAUGAUUGUAAGGAGGACAUCCGAAAAUUAGUGGAAGGUUGUUCACUUUGAAAAAUAACAUAAUCAUGACUGUGUGAGGAAAUUCUCGCUCACAAAAUA